UGCGGUGUGACUGUAGGUCCUCCUCUGCGGUGUGACUGAAGGUCCUGUAGGUCCUCCUCGACGGUGUGACUGAAGGUCCUGUAGGUCCUUCUCGACGGUGUGACUGAAGGUCCUGUAGGUCCUUCUCGACGGUGUGACUGAAGGUCCUGUAGGUCCUUCUCGACGGUGUGACUGAAGGUCCUGUAGGUCCUCCUCGACGGUGUGACUGUAGGUCCUCCUCUGCGAUGUGACUGUAGGUACUCCUUGACGGUGUGACUGAAGGUCCUCCUCUGCGGUGUGACUGUAGGUCCUCCUCUGCGGUGUGACUGAAGGUCCUGUAGGUCCUUCUCGACGGUGUGACUGAAGGUCCUGUAGGUCCUCCUCGACGGUGUGACUGUAGGUCCUCCUCGACGGUGUGACUGAAGGUCCUGUAGGUCCUCCUCGACGGUGUGACUGAAGGUCCUGUAGGUCCUUCUCGACGGUGUGACUGAAGGUCCUGUAGGUCCUUCUCGACGGUGUGACUGAAGGUCCUGUAGGUCCUCCUCGACGGUGUGACUGUAGGUCCUGUAGGUCCUCCUCUGCGGUGUGACUGUGGGUCCUGUAGGUCCUCCUCUGCGGUGUGACCUGUAGGUCCUCCUCGACGGUGUGACUGAAG